CAAAAUUUUUAAUUAAUAUAAAAAAAGCUUGUAUUAUACUUAACUUGACCUUGCUAGUUCUUUUCCGUUCAGCUACCGCGAUUGGAACAUGUCCUAUUCACCUGAAAGAAGAUCAGAAGAUUGGCCGGAGGAAUCCAAAAAUGGGCCGAAGGAUCAAGGAACUUAUGACGGUCCCCCAGGCAUGGAGCCUGAAGGGGCACUCGAUACCAAUUGGCAUCAAGUCGUGGAAAGCUUUGAUGACAUGAAUCUGAAGGAAGAAUUGUUAAGGGGUAUAUAUGCUUAUGGUUUCGAAAAGCCAUCGGCUAUCCAACAGCGCGCCAUUAUGCCAUGCAUUCAAGGUCGCGAUGUCAUUGCCCAAGCCCAGUCUGGAACUGGCAAAACUGCUACUUUCUCCAUUUCAAUUCUACAGCAGAUUGACACUAGUAUUCGAGAAUGUCAAGCCUUGAUUCUGGCCCCAACCAGAGAAUUGGCUCAACAAAUACAAAAGGUGGUGAUUGCUCUGGGUGAUCACUUGAAUGCAAAAUGCCAUGCCUGUAUUGGUGGAACCAAUGUCCGUGAGGACAUUCGUCAGCUGGAGAGUGGUGUGCAUGUUGUGGUGGGCACACCUGGGCGUGUCUAUGACAUGAUUACUCGCCGUGCUCUUCGUGCAAAUACUAUUAAACUGUUUGUUCUUGAUGAAGCUGAUGAAAUGUUGUCCAGAGGAUUUAAAGAUCAAAUCCAUGAUGUGUUUAAGAUGUUGUCUGCUGAUGUUCAAGUAAUUUUACUUUCUGCUACCAUGCCUGAUGAUGUAUUAGAAGUCUCCCGAUGCUUCAUGAGAGAUCCAGUCCGCAUUUUAGUGCAGAAGGAAGAGCUUACAUUGGAAGGUAUUAAACAAUUUUUCAUUGCAAUUGAGAUGGAGGAAUGGAAAUUAGAGACUCUGUGUGACUUGUACGACACCUUGUCUAUUGCUCAGGCUGUAAUUUUCUGCAACACCCGCCGUAAGGUGGAUUGGCUCACUGAAUCUAUGCAUGAUCGUGACUUUACUGUGUCUGCAAUGCACGGCGACAUGGACCAACGGGAACGUGAGGUCAUCAUGAGGCAAUUCCGUACAGGAUCUUCUCGUGUGCUUAUUACUACUGACCUAUUGGCCCGAGGUAUUGACGUGCAACAAGUAUCAUGCGUGAUCAACUAUGAUUUGCCAACUAAUCGUGAAAAUUAUAUUCAUAGAAUCGGAAGAGGUGGUCGUUUCGGCCGUAAGGGAAUUGCUAUCAACUUUGUAACUGAAGCUGAUAAGAGAGCACUGAAAGACAUAGAGGACUUCUAUCACACAACAAUUACAGAAAUGCCUAGUGAUGUGGCUAACCUCAUCUGAGGUGUCAGCGCUCUCCCCGUUUAUACUUUGUGCCCUGCGUUCUAUUGCGAUAUUUAUAAGGUAAUACCUACCUACUGAGCCGUUGAAACGCACUUUGGACACAACUAUGUGGAAAUAAUAAAUCAAAAUUUCCUCAAUAAGUUGCUACUUUCUUUUGACGGGUCCUUAUAUCCUGUAUUCCUAUAUUGCUUUUGCAUACUUUUGAAAUCUGUUUUCUACAUGGUUUUUUAUGUUCAUUUCGAAUUUAUUUAUAUUUUUGGAAUAAAUUUUGUUCGAAAUAUUAGAGUGACUUUUACGAAGUUAAUUAAAUUAAGGUUCCUAAUUUUAAUAAUUGUUUCUACAAAGAGUAGUAUUUCAUACAUAUAAUUUAACAAGUCAUCAUAGGUGUUAUUAUGGCUUAUUGAUAAAGUCAUAGCAUAAUAUUCUAGUAACGGUUUUAUUUUCUCUACGGUAUUAGUAAUUAAUCGAAUUUACAAUUAAGAUGUUUAUUUGUAAAAUUAUAGUAGGACAUAGAAUGAAGUUUUAACGCUUUUGAAAUAAAGUCAAACUUAACCUUUU